UAGGGAAUCUUCGGCAAUGGACGAAAGUCUGACCGAGCAACGCCGCGUGAGUGAAGAAGGUUUUCGGAUCGUAAAACUCUGUUGUUAGAGAAGAACAAGGACGUUAGUAACUGAACGUCCCCUGACGGUAUCUAACCAGAAAGCCACGGCUAACUACGUGCCAGCAGCCGCGGUAAUACGUAGGUGGCAAGCGUUGUCCGGAUUUAUUGGGCGUAAAGCGAGCGCAGGCGGUUUCUUAAGUCUGAUGUGAAAGCCCCCGGCUCAACCGGGGAGGGUCAUUGGAAACUGGGAGACUUGAGUGCAGAAGAGGAGAGUGGAAUUCCAUGUGUAGCGGUGAAAUGCGUAGAUAUAUGGAGGAACACCAGUGGCGAAGGCGGCUCUCUGGUCUGUAACUGACGCUGAGGCUCGAACGCGUGGGGAGCAAACAGG
rnacentral:rRNA from 1 species